CUUCAGACCUGAGAUACCCACAGAUGCCUACCUUAGCAACACGAUUAACCUCCAGGAUUCUUAUGGGUUGAAUAGUGCUCACCCACUGACUGAUGUGUGCUCAGAAUCCCAGGAAGGAGGAGAGAGAUCUUCAUGGGUAUCCUUCAGUACGGUGGAGGCCACCUAGGAUUUAGGGUGAGCACCGACUUUAACCACCGGUGUCCUUGUGAAUAAGAACAGGACACAGACCCAGAGGAAGAGUGCCACACCUGGACAAGGCAGAAACGAGAGUGGUCAAAAGUCAAGGAACACCGGGGAUGUUGCAGCUCUCAAUCUGGCAAACCUCCUUGUUGGCUUGGAACAGUUCUGGAAAAGGAAGCCUCUAAGACAGCAGGAACAAAUGCCUCACAGCACGGGC
rnacentral:lncRNA from 1 species